rnacentral:rRNA from 1 species
AGAAUCAACGCUGGCGGCGUGCCUAACACAUGCAAGUCGAGCGCGAAAGGGGAGCAAUCCCCGAGUAGAGCGGCGAACGGGUGAGUAACGCGUGGGUAAUCUACCUCCGAGUGGGGAAUAACAGCGGGAAACUGCUGCUAAUACCGCAUGACAUCGUCGAGCCUUCGGGCCUGACGAUCAAAGCCGGGGACCGCAAGGCCUGGCGCUUGGAGACGAGCCCGCGUCCGAUUAGCUAGUUGGCGGGGUAAUGGCCCACCAAGGCUCCGAU